AUAACGGUCCUAAGGUAGCGAAAUUCCUUGUCGGGUAAGUUCCGACCUGCACGAAUGGCGUAACGAUGGGGGCGCUGUCUCUACCCGAGACUCAGUGAAAUUGAAAUCGCCGUGAAGAUGCGGUGUAUCCGCGGCUAGACGGAAAGACCCCGUGAACCUUUACUAUAGCUUCACAGUGAACUUUGAGCAUGUUUGUGUAGGAUAGCUGGGAGGCUUUGAAGUGGGAACGCCAGUUCUCAUGGAGCCAACCUUGAAAUACCAGCCUGACAUGUUUGAGGUUCUAACUUGGUCCCCUUAUCGGGGAUGAGGACACUGUGUGGUGGGUAGUUUGACUGGGGCGGUCUCCUCCCAAAGCGUAACGGAGGAGCACAAAGGUGGGCUAAGCAUGGUCGGACAUCAUGCGGUUAGUGUAAUGGCACAAGCCCGCUUAACUGCGAGACAGACACGUCGAGCAGGUACGAAAGUAGGUCAUAGUGAUCCGGUGGUUCUGUAUGGAAGGGCCAUCGCUCAACGGAUAAAAGGUACUCCGGGGAUAACAGGCUGAUACCGCCCAAGAGUUCACAUCGACGGCGGUGUUUGGCACCUCGAUGUCGGCUCAUCACAUCCUGGGGCUGAAGCCGGUCCCAAGGGUAUGGCUGUUCGCCAUUUAAAGUGGUACGCGAGCUGGGUUUAGAACGUCGUGAGACAGUUCGGUCCCUAUCUGCCGUGGACGUUGGAGAUUUGAGGAAAGCUGCUCCUAGUACGAGAGGACCGGAGUGGACGAACCUCUGGUGUUCGGGUUGUGACGCCAGUCGCAUUGCCCGGUAGCUAUGUUCGGACAGGAUAACCGCUGAAAGCAUCUAAGCGGGAAGCCCCUUCCAAGAUGAGAUCUCCCUGGACCCUCGAGGUCCCUGAAGAGCCGUUCAAGACCAGGACGUUGAUAGGUCGGGUGUGUAAGCGCUGCGAGGCGUUGAGCUAACCGAUACUAAUUGCUCGUGCGGCUUGAC
rnacentral:rRNA from 1 species